rnacentral:lncRNA from 1 species
ACAGUUUGUGUUUUAAUUGGAGGGGAAAGCUUCCAGAGAAGGGGGUUGCAAAUUUAGAACCCCAAAUUGACGGGCACAACAAAUAAAACAGACAGCUUUCAUCACUUGAGAGGAUAUCUCUUCUCAAUACAUGCCAAAUGUAUUUUCUGGCUUGAACCAAGGGAACAUCACAGCAAGGGAAGAGGGAGGAAGAAAGGAAAGAAUCACAAACAAAAUGCAAACCUUAGCAAAUCCAGUGAACAUGCAGGUGUGCUUUAUCCCUUGGGAAAUAAUUGGAAUCCAUAGUCGUGGCUGAACAUCAUGCAUUAAUCAGAUAUGAUAGCCAUAUGGUGAGGCUGCUGCCAGGACCUGUACAGAAAAUGUCAGGCCAAGACAUCUUCUGGAUUUACUAAUAGCUGAAGUAGAUUAAGGACUGCAGGAGGACUGGCACAUUUCCAUUAAAGUUAUAUGUUGAAAUGAAUGGGAAUUCAAUAAAGUUAUUUCUUUAACAAUAAAGUUGCAAAAUUUGCCUAUUUUCUUAAUUUAUCAGAAGGAACAUGUGAUUAAAAUCUAUAAAUGUAAGAGAAAGUGAAAUCGACAGAUUCACUCUUCCAAACAGAGGUCUUUGGUGCUUAGCUCUUCAAAGUGUGGCAUUAAGUCUUUGUAUGCAUUCAGUUAUAUUUCUAGUCCUUAGUUGUGAUUGGCACCCAUUUGGGGUUUUUUCUCUCUCUUUCUGUCAUUCUUUUUAUUUUAAACAAGGACAUUUUCCAACAGGUGAAAAUUUGUUUAUUUUGGCUUAUUUUUUGUAAUUUUUUAAUUAAGUGCUUUUAAACAUAACAAUAAUAAGUAUAGAAAAGAAAGUGAAAAGGAAGGGGGUGAUACGAAUGGAGAAAAAAGAAUUCUUUUAAAAAAAAGAUUUUAAAAAACACAACAAAACCCACGAAAGAUUGUACUUUCCAUCUUUUCUUCUAAGUGGUAAAGUAUUUUGUACAUGUUGUCCUUUGUAUUUCCACUUCAUCUUCAUAUCUUUGUGAAAAAUUCCUCUUUUUCUAUAAAAGUUGUCAAUAAUGUCCAGUCUGUUUCUUUUGUUGAUUUAUCAUGGUGGGUUUUCAGGUAGUAGGUCAAAGCGUGAUUGGUGGAUAAAGACUUAAAAUAGUGUAUAGCUACUAAAAUAAUGUAUAAAUAUUAAAAUAAAUAUAGUGUCCCUACUUCUCGGAUUUUCACUUAUUGCGGGUGGUCCUGGAAUGUAACCCCAUGAUAAGUGAGGGAACACUGUACAUGCUAAUUAUUGAGUAAAUUGUGUUCAUAAAACAGUGGUGCUCAAUUCCAUAUUUCCUAACAAACCUGUGUGCUCAUUAGGAAAACGUGAAGUCAGGUUUAAUUACAUGGAAGCCCACUGGGCCAUUUUUUCACAUUUGCAACACCAUUUUAAUAAGACAGAUCCUCUGCAUAAUUUCUAAUAGCAUAGACUGUCUUAAUUAAAUAGGUGUUUUCCAAUAGAGACAGGUAACGUAAAACCCUUCUGAUGUCUACACCAUCUGAUCUUUGUGGGAGAUUUUAUGUUUUUCAAAGAGUAACGUACCAUUAUAAUUAUUCAAGAAUUCAUUUACUACCCUAGUUUCUAACCUUUUUAGUAAGUUAAAAAAUAAACAAAAAGAAGAGCAACUCAUAUUCUAUUACUAUUUCCUCUGAUAUUUACCCUCCACAGCAGGGAACUGUCAUUGGAAAAUAACAGGUAGAAAAAGUUGAACUCACCAUCCUCACAGUACUGCAGACUCCCUAGUGUGCUGUUGACA